rnacentral:rRNA from 1 species
AUUGAACGCUGGCGGCAUGCCUUACACAUGCAAGUCGAACGGCAGCACGGGUGCUUGCACCUGGUGGCGAGUGGCGAACGGAUGAGUAAUACAUCGGAACAUGUUCUGUAGUGGGGGGUAGCCCGGCGAAAGCCGGAUUAAUACCGCAUACGAUCUACGGACGAAAGCGGGGGCCCUUCGGGCCUCGCGCUAUUGGGUUGGUCGAUGGCUGAUUAGCUAGUUGGUGGGGUAAAGGCCUACCAAGGCGACGAUCAGUAGCUGGUCUGAGAGGACGACCAGCCACACUGGGACUGAGACACGGCCCAGACUCCUACGGGAGGCAGCAGUGGGGAAUUUUAGACAAUGGGCGAAAGCCUGAUCCAGCAAUGCCGCGUGUGUGAAGAAGGCCUUCGGGUUGUAAAGCACUUUUGUCCGGAAAGAAAUCCUUGGCCCUAAUACGGUCGGGGGAUGACGGUACCGGAAGAAUAAGCACCGGCUAACUACGUG